rnacentral:pre_miRNA from 1 species
UGUAAACAUCCCCGACUGGAAGCUGUGUGAGAACUCUGUCGAGCUUUCAGUUGGAUGUUUGCU